rnacentral:rRNA from 1 species
GAACGCUAGCGGCAGGCCUAAUACAUGCAAGUCGAACGGUUCUUGGUUUUCGGAUCAAGGAUAGUGGCGCACGGGUGCGUAACACGUACACAACAUACCCUUUACUGGGGGAUAGCGGUGGGAAACUGCCAGUAAUACCCCAUGUCGUUAAGAAUUGGCAUCAAAUUUUAACGAAAAUUACGGUGGUAGAGGAUUGGUGUGCGUCCGAUUAGCUAGUUGGCGGGGUAACGGCCCACCAAGGCGACGAUCGGUAGGGGGUGUGAGAGCAUGGCCCCCCACACGGGGUACUGAGACACGGACCCGACUCCUACGGGAGGCAGCAGUAAGGAAUAUUGGACAAUGGGCGGAAGCCUGAUCCAGCCAUGCCGCGUGAAGGAAGAAUGCGCUCAGCGUUGUAAACUUCUUUUGAAUGGGAACAAUAAUCCCGACGUGUCGGGACUUGAGGGUACCAUUAGAAUAAGCACCGGCUAACUCCGUGCCAGCAGCCGCGGUAAUACGGAGGGUGCAAGCGUUAUCCGGAAUCACUGGGUUUAAAGGGUGC